ACACAUGCAGUCGAACGCGAAAUUUUUCUUCGGAAAGAGAGUAGAGUGGCGCACGGGUGAGUAACGCGUAAAUAAUCUACCCCUGCAUUUGGGAUAACCCACCGAAAGGUGGGCUAAUACCGGAUACGUUCUUUAUGUUGCGAGACGUAGAGAAGAAAGGUGGCCUCUGAUACAAGCUACUGUGCGGGGAGGAGUUUGCGUACCAUUAGUUAGUUGGUGUGGUAACGGCACACCAAGACAACGAUAGGUAGGGGCCCUGAGAGGGGGAUCCCCCACACUGGUACUGAGACACGGACCAGACUCCUACGGGAGGCAGCAGUGAGGAGUAUUGGACAAUGGGCGAGAGCCUGAUCCAGCCAUGCCGCGUGCAGGAAGACGGCCCUAUGGGUUGUAAACUGCUUUUAUACAGGAAGAAACACUCCCUCGUGAGGGAGCUUGACGGUACUGUAAGAAUAAGGACCGGCUAACUCCGUGCCAGCAGCCGCGGUAAUACGGAGGGUCCGAGCGUUAUCCGGAAUCAUUGGGUUUAAAGGGUCCGUAGGCGGGCAGCUCAGUCAGUGGUGAAAGUUUGCAGCUCAACUGUAAAAUUGCCAUUGAUACUGGUUGUCUUGAAUCAUUAUGAAGUGGUUAGAAUAUGUAGUGUAGCGGUGAAAUGCAUAGAUAUUACAUAGAAUACCAAUUGCGAAGGCAGAUCACUAAUAAUGUAUUGACGCUGAUGGACGAAAGCGUGGGGAGCGAACAGGAUUAGAUACGCUGGUAGUCCACGCAGUAAACGAUGAACACUAGUGUAGCGGGUAUUGACCCCUGCUGUGCCGCAGCUAACGCAUUAAGUGUUCCGGCACACAUGCAGACACAUGCAGACACAUGCAG
rnacentral:rRNA from 1 species